CAGAUUGUAGCUUAUAUUAAAGCUUGUUAUUUACAUUAAUAUGAAAAUAAAUUAUUUUAUCUGA
rnacentral:tRNA from 2 species